rnacentral:rRNA from 1 species
UACGUAGGUGGCAAGCGUUGUCCGGAAUUAUUGGGCGUAAAGCGCGCGCAGGUGGUUCCUUAAGUCUGAUGUGAAAGCCCACGGCUCAACCGUGGAGGGUCAUUGGAAACUGGGGAACUUGAGUGCAGAAGAGGAAAGUGGAAUUCCAAGUGUAGCGGUGAAAUGCGUAGAGAUUUGGAGGAACACCAGUGGCGAAGGCGACUUUCUGGUCUGUAACUGACACUGAGGCGCGAAAGCGUGGGAGCAAACAGG